rnacentral:tRNA from 1 species
GGCGGUGUAUCCGAAUCGGCACAGGAGGGGGCCUUAAAAGCCCCUGGCCGCAAGGCUUGUGGGUUCGACUCCCACCACCGCCACCA